rnacentral:rRNA from 1 species
UACAGAGACUGCAAGCGUUAUUCGGAUUCACUGGGCGUAAAGGGUGCGCAGGCGGCCGUGUGUGUGAGGCGUGAAAGCCCGGGGCUUAACCCCGGAAUUGCACCUCAAACUACAUGGCUAGAGCAUUGGAGAGGGUAGCAGAAUUCACGGUGUAGCAGUGAAAUGCGUAGAUAUCGUGAGGAAUACCAGAGGCGAAGGCGGCUACCUGGACAAUUGCUGACGCUCAGGCACGAAAGCGUGGGGAGCAAAAGGG